GACGAACGCUGGCGGCGUGCCUAAUACAUGCAAGUAGAACGCUGAAGAGAUGAGCUUGCUCUUCUUGGAUUAGUUGCUAACGGGUGAGUAACGCGUAGGUAACCUGCCUUGUAGUGGGGGAUAACUAUUGGAAACGAUAGCUAAUACCGCAUAACAAUGGAUGCCACAUGUCAUUUAUUCGAAAGGGGCAAUUGCUCCACUACAAGAUGGACCUGCGUUUUAUUAGCUAGUAGGUGAGGUAACGGCUCACCUAGGCGACGGUACAUAGCCGACCUGGAAGGGUGAUCGGCCACACUGGGAAUGGGACAAGGCCCAGACUCCUAAGGGAGGGAGCAGUAGGGAAUCUUCGGCAAUGGGGGCAACCCUGACCGAGCAACGCCGCGUGAGUGAAGAAGGUCUUCGGAUCGUAAAGCUCUGUUGUAAGUGAAGAACGAGUGUGAGAGUGGAACGUUCAUGCUGUGACGGUAGCUUACCAGAAAGGGACGGCUAACUACGUG
rnacentral:rRNA from 1 species